CCCUUUGAUACUCUGGGCGGUACGCGCGCUACACUGGUUUAUAUAACGUGUAAUUUGGACGAUAGUCUGUAUAAAUCACUAAUAUAAAACCGUGAAUGGGAUAGUUUAUUGCAACUUACAAACUUUAACUAGGAAUCCCUUGUAGAAGUAGUGAAUUAUACUGCUUCGAAUACGUCCCUGCCGAUUGUACACACCGCCCGUCGUUUCUUCCGACUGGUACUCAUUGUGAAUUGCGAGGAGAUUCUGUCAAAUCGUUGUAAAUGCUGGGUAUUGGAGGAAGAAAAAGUCGUAACA
rnacentral:rRNA from 1 species